rnacentral:rRNA from 1 species
GAACUGAAGAGUAUGAUCAUGGCUCAGAUUGAACGUUGGCGGCAGGCCUCAUACAUGCAAGUCGAACGCGAAAGGCCCUUCGGGGCUGAGUAGAGUGGCGAACGGGUGAGUAACGCGUAGGAAUCUACCCGGCAGUGGGGGACAACUCGGGGAAACUCGAGCUAAUACCGCAUGUGAUCUCCGGCAUUCGUGCCGGAGAUGAAAGCGGGGGAUCUCCCCGCCGCGACUUCGGUUGCGGCGGAAGGACCUCGCGCUGUCGGAGGAGCCUGCGUUGGAUUAGCUUGUUGGUGGGGUAAUGGCCUACCAAGGCGACGAUCCAUAGCUGGUCUGAGAGGACGAUCAGCCACACUGGGACUGAGACACGGCCCAGACGGCUACGGUCGGCAGCAGUAGGGAAUAUUGCACAAUGGGCGAAAGCCUGAUGCAGCCAUGCCGCGUGUGUGAAGAAGGCCUUAGGGUUGUAAAGCACUUUCAGUGGUGAAGAAAUCCCGCGCACUAAUACUGCGCGGUCUUGACGUUAACCACAGAAGAAGCACCGGCUAACUCCGUGCCAGCAGCCGCGGUAAUACGGAGGGUGCGAACGUUAAUCGGAAUUACUGGGCGUAAAGCGCGCGUAGGCGGUUUGUUAAGUGAGAUGUGAAAUCCCCGGGCUCAACCUGGGAACUGCGUUUCAAACUGACAAACUAGAGUUCAGUAGAGGGAGGUGGAAUUUCCUGUGUAGCGGUGGAAUGCGUAGAUAUAGGAAGGAACACCAGUGGCGAAGGCGGCCUCCUGGACUGAAACUGACGCUCAUGUGCGAAAGCGUGGGGAGCAAACAGGAUUAGAUACCCUGGUAGUCCACGCCGUAA